UUAGUGUUUUUCUGUCAUCAGGGUUCAACCCGUAAUAAUGGAAGACCUGCAAAGCACAAUGUCAAUCAUUCCAUCACCAUGUGGUCUGCUCAUCCUACCUCCAGGCCUUACUGAAGGUUGAGAUCUUCUCCAACAAGAGGCCUGCUGGGAAGGAUUGAACAGCUCUGCACUGCUGCUGCCCUCUAGGGGUCAAACUGAUUCUUCCUGUGGCCAAAACAAAUAUUCAGUUUACAAUGAUGUGACACGAGAAAAGACCAGAUUAUUCAAUACUUUGUUUGUUGUUGAAAUAAAUAAAAUCUUCCAAUUUUAGAAACUGAGAAGGUUUUAUGUCACAGAUCAGCAUACGAUCUAGUUUCUGAUAACUUGUCUAUUGAUUGUCCACAAGCAAAAGACUGCAGAAGGACGGAUGGCGUUAUAAAAUAUAUACAUAGAAUAUGCAAGUGUAGCUGAUUCAAUCCUCUUCUGCAAAUACACAAUUAGAAAUGAUAUCUAUCUUAUAUGGCGUCACAAAGAGGCUCAUGGGAAGUGACAAACAAGGGAGUCCACACGGUGACUUAAAGAAAUAACAGGUUUUAUUCAAGAACUAACAAAAUAUGAAUCUACAACGGAAGAUAAACUGGUGAAGUGUGAAAGUGGGCAUAUGAGGGGUGUCAUGGAAUUGAGAGGUGUCCUUAAACAAAACGCAUACUCUAACAAAGACUAAAUCCAAAUGCUGCUGGUGGGGAUGGAGCUCAGGCUGGGCCCCAGGAACUUUAACACCUGGCUCGCUCCACCCACAGGUGCAACCUGUCACCUUAACGGGUUUCCCCAGCUCCACCCGUCUCCAACCUGCAAACAAGAACAUAGAGAAGGUCCAAGGAGCCACAGUGCGUGACUAAAGAAAUGAUGCCAGCUGGUCUGCCCUCUCAUUGCCACGUACACCUACAUGCGAGUUGAAGCUGACCUCCCUGAUGAUUCCUCCUUGGAGCUGACUGGAGGACAUGGUGCAGUAGACCUUGCUGGCUAUUUGAAGGACACGACCUCAUACGCAUCAGGGCUGAAGAUGAAUCGGAGCAGAUCAACACAUGUUCCUGCUGUGUUUCUUCCACCCGUCGCAGUGCAAUCCUUACUGCCAACAUCUCCACUGUGUAGAGCCCCAGAUCAUUAGAUGUUCUCCUGUUGAUAGCCAUCCCUUGACUUGGGGGCGCCAUAAACUAACGAGUCAGAAGCUCAAUUUGAUGGCAACGAGUAGCCCGGUAAGUUGUUCCCAAAAUACUUCCCCAAAACAAUGGAAUACUCUUGUAAAAAAAUAUAUUAAAACAAAUAUAUCUUUGGGCUUCCUUGACCAUCCUGGAGGCACUGUCAGAAAUAUCCGCCCCGACUUACCAACAGCCAAGAGGUUUUUGUUUAAUUCACGUCGACAUGUGAGUAAAUAUGUGAUUGUUUGUUGUUAUGCACACGAAACACUUCCCACACCAGCCUCGUGUGUCCAGCUGUCCCCCCGCAGUGACGUCACAUUGGCCCUGGAAACUCAUUAAAUCACCAGACCAAAGGAAUGCAGGAAAAAGAGAGUCAC